rnacentral:rRNA from 1 species
UUGGAGGGCAAGUCUGGUGCCAGCAGCCGCGGUAAUUCCAGCUCCAAUAGCGUAUAUUAAAGUUGUUGCAGUUAAAAAGCUCGUAGUUGAAUUUCGGGAUCAAUAAGUCGGUCAUGCCGUUGGUAUGAACUGAUUUUAUUGAUUCUCACCUUCUGAUGAACCGUAAUGUCAUUAAUUUGAUGUUGCGGGGAAUUAGGACUGUUACCUUGAAAAAAUUAGAGUGUUUAAAGCAGGCUAACGCUUGAAUACAUUAGCAUGGAAUAAUGAAAUAGGACAUCAGAUUCUAUUUUGUUGGUUUCUAGGAUCGAUGUAAUGAUUAAUAGGGAUAGUUGGGGGCAUUAGUAUUCAAUUGUCAGAGGUGAAAUUCUUGGAUUUAUUGAAGACUAACUACUGCGAAAGCAUUUGCCAAGGAUGUUUUCGUUAAUCAAGAACGAAAGUUAGGGGAUCGAAGACGAUCAGAUACCGUCGUAGUCUUAACCAUAAACUAUGCCGACUAGGGAUCGGAUGAUGUUAAUUUUUUAAUGACUCAUUCGGCACCUUAUGGGAAACCAAAG